UGAGUAGAAUGUUAACCUCAGACCAUCACGUCCUGUGACAGUUAACUGACUUGCAUCGUGCAGG
rnacentral:sRNA from 1 species